AUUCUGUCUGGUGUACUGGUAAUAUCUGGACUGGUUUAAUGGCUUGUUUCAUGGGAGAAGUGCUAAACUUUACGUCAACAUUUAUGUAAAGUUAAAGCUGCACAGAUUCUGAGUCUUGGAAGUUUAUUUCAAAGAAAAGACAAUGCCUGUGCCACAUAUUUGACUUGGUUUUAUAAAUAUUACGAAGCUCCAGGAAAUAUGAGCAGGAUCUCAAAUAUAUUCAACAAGAAACUCAGAACCUGGAUUUGAAGAUUCUGGAUUUGAAGUAAAUUUACCACAGAAAAACUCAGGAGACAUACGUUGAAGUAUUUUGUGGUGAAAUGUUAUGAUGUCUGCAAGGAACUCUCAAAUGGUUGAAGAAAAAUGUGUAUGUCAGAUAAAGAGGGAAGAGAGAAAGGGAGGAAGUACUGAACAUCUGAAGAGAGGAAGAGAUGAUAUGAAAUACUUAUAUACACUAAGUUGACUUGGAAAAUCUGUAUACGGAUGGUACCCACUUCCUUAAACAAAGUUCUAUAUAAUUAUAAAGAUGAAAGAAACCCUAAAACUCACCAAGUCUAAUCCAGUCAUUUUAUAGGCAAAAACAUAGAGACUUGGAUAUUCUUUUUAAUUGAUAGGUUCAGAGUAGGGAAACAGAUAAU